UAGUUUAUAAUGUAUAGUAGUGGGUUGUUAGUGAUAUGUAGAUGUUAUAUUAUGUAAAGUAGACUAGGUUAUAAUGUAUAGUAGUGGGUUGUUAGUGAUAUGUAGAUGUUAUAUUAUGUAAAGUAGACUAGGUUAUAAUGUAUAGUAGUGGGUUGUUAGUGAUAUGUAGAUGUUAUAUUAUGUAAAGUAGACUAGGUUAUAAUGUAUAGUAGUGGGUUGUUAGUGAUAUGUUAUAUUAUGUAAAGUAGACUAGGUUAUAAUGUAUAGUAGUGGGUUGUUAGUGAUAUGUAGAUGUUAUAUUAUGUAAAGUAGACUAGGUUAUAAUGUAUAGUAGUGGGUUGUUAGUGAUAUGUUAUAUUAUGUAAAGUAGACUAGGUUAUAAUGUAUAGUAGUGGGUUGUUAGUGAUAUGUAGAUGUUAUAUUAUGUAAAGUAGACUAGGUUAUAAUGUAUAGUAGUGGGUUGUUAGUGAUAUGUUAUAUUAUGUAAAGUAGACUAGGUUAUAAUGUAUAGUAGUGGGUUGUUAGUGAUAUGUUAUAUUAUGUAAAGUAGACUAGGUUAUAAUGUAUAGUAGUGGGUUGUUAGUGAUAUGUAGAUGUUAUAUUAUGUAAAGUAGACUAGGUUAUAAUGUAUAGUAGUGGGUUGUUAGUGAUAUGUAGAUGUUAUAUUAUGUAAAGUAGACUAGGUUAUAAUGUAUAGUAGUGGGUUGUUA